GAGUUUGAUUAUGGCUCAGAACGAACGCUGGCGGCGCGUCUUAAGCAUGCAAGUCGAACGGUAAGGGAGAGCUUGCUCUCCCCUAGAGUGGCGGACUGGUGAGUAACGCGUGGGUGACCUGCCCUGAAGAUGGGGAUAGCUAGUAGAAAUAUUAGAUAAUACCGAAUGUGCUCAUUUACAUAAAGGUAAAUGAGGAAAGGAGCUACGGCUCCGCUUCAGGAUGGGCCCGCGUCCCAUUAGCUGGUUGGUGAGGUAAAGGCCCACCAAGGCAACGAUGGGUAUCCGGCCUGAGAGGGUGAACGGACACAUUGGGACUGAGAUACGGCCCAAACUCCUACGGGAGGCAGCAGCUAAGAAUCUUCCGCAAUGGACGAAAGUCUGACGGAGCGACGCCGUGUGAAUGAAGAAGGCUGAAAGGUUGUAAAAUUCUUUUGCAGAUGAAGAAUAAAACACAGGAGGGAAUGCCCCUGUGAGAUGA
rnacentral:rRNA from 1 species